AUUGAACGCUGGCGGCAGGCCUAACACAUGCAAGUCGAACGAGUGGCGGACGGGUGAGUAAGAUCUGGGAAACUGCCCGAUGGAGGGGGGUAACUAAUGGAAACGGGAACUAAUACCGCAUACCAUCGGAGGUGCCCCGGUGGGAUUAGCUAGUUGGUGGGGUAACGGCUCACCUAGGCGACGAUCCCUAGCCGGUCUGAGAGGAUGACCAGCCAAACUGGAACUGAGACACGGCCCAGACUCCUACGGGAGGCAGCAGUGGGGAAUAUUGCACAAUGGGCGCAAGCCUGAUGCAGCCAUGCCGCGUGUAUGAAGAAGGCCUUCGGGUUGUAAAGUACUUUCAGCGAGGAGGCGUUACUCGCAGAAGAAGCACCGGCUAACUCCGUGCCAGCCGCCGCGGUAAUAC
rnacentral:rRNA from 1 species